rnacentral:rRNA from 1 species
UACGUAGGGUGCGAGCGUUAAUCGGAAUUACUGGGCGUAAAGCGUGCGCAGGCGGCUUUGCAAGACAGAGGUGAAAUCCCCGGGCUCAACCUGGGAACUGCCUUUGUGACUGCAAGGCUAGAGUACGGCAGAGGGGGAUGGAAUUCCGCGUGUAGCAGUGAAAUGCGUAGAUAUGCGGAGGAACACCGAUGGCGAAGGCAAUCCCCUGGGCCUGCACUGACGCUCAUGCACGAAAGCGUGGGGAGCAAACAGG